GAACUGUGCAAACGUUAUUCGGAAUCACUGGGGCUUAAAGGGUGCGCAGGCGGCUUGAUAAGUAGGAUGUGAAAUCUCCCGGGCCCAACCGGGGGAACUGCGUUCUAAACUGUCAGGCUUGAGUGAGAUAGGGGUGUGCGGAACUUCCAGUGGAGCGGUGAAAUGUGUUGAUAUUGGAAGGAACACCGGUAGCGAAAGCGGCACACUGGGUCUCUACUGACGCUCAUGCACGAAAGCCAGGGUAGCGAACGGGAUUAGAUACCCCGGUAGUCCUGGCUGUAAACGAUGAGCACUAGACGGGAGGGGUUUCGGCCCAUCCGGUCACAGCGAAAGCACUAAGUGCUCCGCCUGGGGAGUAUGGUCGCAAGGCUG
rnacentral:rRNA from 1 species